rnacentral:rRNA from 1 species
CGCCCUUCCAGAGGGGGACAACAGUUGGAAACGACUGCUAAUACCGCAUACGAUCUAAUCUCGGCAUCGAGGAUAGAUGAAAGGUGGCCUCUAUUUAUAAGCUAUCACUGAAGGAGGGGAUUGCGUCUGAUUAGCUAGUUGGAGGGGUAACGGCCCACCAAGGCGAUGAUCAGUAGCCGGUCUGAGAGGAUGAACGGCCACAUUGGGACUGAGACACGGCCCAG